rnacentral:lncRNA from 1 species
GAAGGACUUUGGGAAGGAAACACGGCACAGAGGCCUGACCGCCGUGUGCAAGAGGUAUAGGGCGAUGGUCGUAAGGAGCCCUGUAGGGCGUCUUGGGACACACUGGUCAGACUGCGCCACCCCAAACACCACAGGCCUUUGCCGCUGCUGAUCCCCAGGCUCGAGAGGACGUCUCCACUCCGCGGGCCCCAGCCACCUGCUGUGUCCCCCUCCGCAGCCGCGGUGGAAAGAAUGCCCUUGCGGAGGACAGCUGAGAGAGGACACGUUUUUUGGACGACGCAGGAUCCCAGCAUCCGGCACCCGCAUGGCUCCGCAUCCUUUCUCGCUUUGCCCUCGUGGAGAGUCCACGGUGGUGAAGUUAAGGGAUCCCCGAGAGGAACCGGAGUGGUCCCAGCCCUGCACGUCUACACGAGGCAAUACGGACACGCAGGCGGCCGGUGCAGAAUGCUGACUGCUCCCCGAAGAAAAAUGACCCCAGAUCCACGCCAGCUGUUUCAUUACAUCUCAGGACGACGUGGACUUAUGUAAUAAAUAGAAGAAUUUUUUAAUCAAGUCAUGAGGCAGGAUGUAUAAACUUUAUUAUUGAUUACACGUUGGUAAAAGCUUUCUCAAUAAAGCACACUUGCUCCCCUCUGUCAGGUUUCUAUUAGGGCAAUUUAAUCUGUGUAACUCUUACUUUAUAUUGUUCUUUCUGUUUUAUUACUUCAUAUUACAGUCCAUCUUGGUAGCCACAAAUUCAAUAGCAUAAUUGUUGUUUUUUUUUCUUCUUCUUCUUCUUGGGACAAAAAUGUGCUUUUUGUUUCCAGGAGGUAAUAACUUCAGACAAAACUUGACCGUUUUAAUGCGAAAACGUUCUACCAAAAAAUAAUAAAAAAUUAAAAACCCUGCAUGUGCGUGGACGUCCCCCUUUUGAUCUGAAACAUUGUGGCAGUGUCUGCGAUCGAUUUUUUUCUUGAAGCAGUGGAAAGAGCCGGGCUGUAAACAUCUUACAUGGA